rnacentral:rRNA from 1 species
UGGGGAAUAUUGCGCAAUGGGCGAAAGCCUGACGCAGCGACGCCGCGUGAGGGAUGAAGGUUUUCGGAUCGUAAACCUCUGUCAGAAGGGAAGAAACCGCACUGUGCUAAUCAGCAGUGCCUUGACGGUACCUUCAAAGGAAGCACCGGCUAACUCCGUGCCAGCAGCCGCGGUAAUACGGAGGGUGCAAGCGUUAAUCGGAAUUACUGGGCGUAAAGCGCACGUAGGCUGCUUUGUAAGUCAGGGGUGAAAUCCCACGGCUCAACCGUGGAACUGCCUUUGAUACUGCGGAGCUUGAAUCCGGGAGAGGGUGGCGGAAUUCCAGGUGUAGGAGUGAAAUCCGUAGAUAUCUGGAGGAACAUCAGUGGCGAAGGCGGCCACCUGGACCGGUAUUGACGCUGAGGUGCGAAAGCGUGGGGAGCAAACAGG